rnacentral:rRNA from 1 species
CCCGGCUAGUGCCGGAAGGUCAAGGAAGUUGAUGACCUAAUGAUAGAAGAGCCGGUGACCAAAGUCCCGGUGAACGGCGACCGUAACCAUAACAGUCCUAAGAUAACGAAAUUUCUUGUCAGGUAAAUUCCGACCCGCACAAAAGG